AGUGAACGCUGGCGGUAGGCCUAACACAUGCAAGUCGAACGGCAGCACAGUAAGAGCUUGCUCUUACGGGUGGCGAGUGGCGGACGGGUGAGGCAUACAUCGGAAUCUACUUUUUCGGGGGGGAUAACGUGGGGAAACUUAUGCUAAUACCGCAUACGACCUACGGGUGAAAGCAGGAGAUCUUCGGACCUUUCGCGAUUCAAUGGGACGAUGUCGGAUUAGCUUGUUGGCGGGGUAAAGGCCCACCAAGGCGACGAUCCGUAGCUGGUCUGAGAGGAUGAUCAGCCACACUGGAACUGAGACACGGUCCAGACUCCUACGGGAGGCAGCAGUGGGGAAUAUUGGACAAUGGGCGAAAGCCUGAUCCAGCAAUACCGCGUGGGUGAAGAAGGCCUUCGGGUUGUAAAGCCCUUUUGUUGGGAAAGAAAAGCAGCAGGUUAAUACCCCGCUGUUCUGACGGUACCCAAAGAAUAAGCACCGGCUAACUUCGUG
rnacentral:rRNA from 1 species